rnacentral:rRNA from 1 species
ACGGGAGGCAGCAGUGGGGAAUAUUGGUCAAUGGGCGGAAGCCUGAACCAGCCAAGUCGCGUGAAGGAGGAAGGUCCUAUGGAUUGUAAACUUCUUUAGCCGGGGAGCAAUAAGCGCCACGUGUGGCGCGAUGCGAGUACCCGGAGAAUAAGGAUCGGCUAACUCCGUGCCAGCAGCCGCGGUAAUACGGAGGAUCCGAGCGUUAUCCGGAUUUAUUGGGUUUAAAGGGUGCGCAGGCGGUCGAUUAAGUCAGUGGUCAAAUCGUGGUGCUCAACGCCAUGCCGCCAUUGAUACUGGUUGACUUGAUUCCGGUCGAGGCAGGCGGAAUUCGUGGUGUAGCGGUGAAAUGCAUAGAUAUCACGAAGAACUCCGAUUGCGUAGGCAGCUUACCAGGCCGGCAAUGACGCUCAUGCACGAAAGUGCGGGGAUCGAACAGGAUUAGAUACCCUGGUA